rnacentral:lncRNA from 1 species
AAGAUUCAACUCAGCCACAUCAAGUUCUAGAAAUUUAGCAGUCAGUAAUUCUACAAUUCUGUUACCUCUCCCAAGACUAUAGAACCUAUAUGCUUUAGCAUAUUCUGGAUAUGCAAUGAAAUAAUAGCGACUGGUUCUAGGGUCAGUCUUUUUCUUUAUUGAAUUAUAUAUUCUUACUUCUACAGGACAACCCCAAAUCUAUCCUACCAC